rnacentral:lncRNA from 1 species
CGUUGGGAUGGCCGCUCAUUGUGCGUACCCCCCGAACAACAGGCAGCUCUCACCGAGUGCAGACUGGAGAUCGCCCGUGAAAGCGCGCGUCGUCGACGGGCCGAUCCUACAGUGCGAGCCGCUGAAGCUGCGGCACUCCGACAACGCCAAGCAGAUCACCCGACCUUCCCUUGGUCACGGUCAAGCUACUCACAAAGAACAUAACCGUCAAACACAAGGUGCACUCAGGACGAGCUUCGCUUACCCCUCAUUUUCCGGAUUCCCGUGCUCUAUGGCGGCAAGAUGGCUGCCGCCCUGCAGGGCGCGCCGUUCGACCGCCAGGGUUGGGUGGUGCUCAAAUUCUACACCACCAAGAUCACCAUCGCCGUGGUCGAUUCGAAAAGGCAGGCGCCCUUGGUCAUUUCACGCUUCAUCAGGAAAGCCGACGGUUCGGUCGAUCCGAAUGAUAAGGGGUUGGUCAGAGCCAUCAGCAUCGGCCGCAACUUCCAAGUUAACAACGUCUUCGUGUACGGCGGCAUGACCCUCAACCCUAUACAGCCUCGGCCAUGAUGGCGCACAAGCUCAACUACAUGCAACACCAGCGCCGACACAUACUUGCAUUCCACAUUUUCUAAUUUUGCCAACACAAUGCUCAGACUCACUGAUGGCGGAAAUAAAUCGUCCUUGCACUGCUCAUUAAAACAAACUUUUGUUGGGCGAGUUGAUUGAUACUUGGGAAAGCCAUUGUAAUGCAAAUGAGAUGGGCACAAAGAACAGAACCCAGGACAGUGACUGCGCUCGUAGACUGGUGCUGUGAAGCUUGCCAGUAUUUUUUUCUAAGGUUUUCA